CCUAUAUAUGGAUCUAGAUAUAUCACGUGAUGUAUAUCUAAAUGCAUAUAUAUGUAUACACAUAUGUGCACAGGAGAGGCUCAUAUACAUGUAUUUAAU